CCCCUAGAUGUUCUGGGCCGCACGCGCGCUACACUGAACAGUUCAACAAGUCUUAACCUUGGCCGAUAGGUCUGGGUAAUCUUUGAACGCUGUUCGUGAUUGGGAUAGACCUUUGCAAUUAUGGGUCUUAAACGAGGAAUUCCUAGUAAACGCAAGUCAUCAGCUUGCAUUGAUUACGUCCCUGCCCUUUGUACACACCGCCCGUCGCACCUACCGAUUGAAUGGUCCGGUGAAAUCUCCGGACUGGCGUGAGUCGGAGCAAUCUGACAAACACCGGAAAGUUGAUUAAACCUUACCAUUUAGAGGAAGGUGAAGUCGUAACA
rnacentral:rRNA from 1 species